UUAGGCAAAACGCAUGUUUAAUUUACCACCAGGCAGAUGUUGGAUAGCUCUCACAUUACAUGGUCACAGGGCUUGAAGUCUCCUUUUUCUUCUCUGCUGUUGACUCAACAGAGGCAACCAGCAACACUGAUCUUAUGAUCCAUCUCUACAUGUGAUCUCCUGAAUCGAUACGAAUCCCAUGCAUACAUCAAUGUCCUGAUCAUCCUGAUGCAACUACCAAGAGAAGAAUGAAAUGUCCUUAUAUGACUAAAGAGGAAAAGUUCCCGGUUGAUCCCAUGACCACUAAAGCGCUUCAUCUACUGAUACACUGAAUUAGGCUGCAGGUCUUGGAACUGAUGUCACCACAGAGUCGGGGUCCGGGAAAUCUCUGAGUCACGUGCAAAUGCAGAGCCAGGAAAUAUCAGCAGAAGAAGUAAAUAUUAAGGCAAAAGAUGUUGGAAGCUGGUGACGGCUUCCUGAAAGAAGCCAUGAGAAGCUGGUCAGUGCUAAGAGCAAACCAUGGCCUUGGAUUAAAUCCAAUAUUCGGCUUGGAUGACAAAUUA